AGUGAACGCUGGCGGCGUGCCUAAUACAUGCAAGUCGAACGGAGUGGCGCACGGGUGAGUAAUGUAUAGCUAAUCUGCCCUACACUAGAGGACAACAGUUGGAAACGGCUGCUAAUACUCUAUAGUGUAGGAUGAGGCUAUAUUGUAUCAGCUAGUUGGUGAGGUAAUGGAUCACCAAGGCUAUGACGCAUAACUGGUCUGAGAGGAUGAUCAGUCAAACUGGAAGUGAGACACGGUCCCGACUCCUACGGGAGGCAGCGGUAGGGAAUAUUGCUGAAUGGGGGAAACCCUGAAGCAGCAACGCCGCGUGGAGGAUGGCACUUUGCGUAGCGUAAACUCGUUUGGUGAGGGAAGAGGUACCUAACGAAUAAGCACCGGCUAACUCCGUGCCAGCAGCCGCGGUAAUAC
rnacentral:rRNA from 1 species